rnacentral:rRNA from 1 species
GACGAACGCUGGCGGCGUGCUUAACACAUGCAAGUCGAAGAAAGUUGCGAACGGGUGAGUAACGCGUAGGUAACUUCCUUAUAGCAGGGGAUAACUAUUGGAAACGAUAGCUAAUACCGCCUACUAACAGAUGGACCUGCGUUGGAUUAGCUAGUUGGUGGGGUAAAGGCCCACCAAGGCAACGAUACAUAGCCGACCUGGGAGGGUGAUCGGCCACACUGGGACUGAGACACGGCCCAGACUCCCACGGGAGGCAGCAGUAGGGAAUUGUCGGCAAUGGAGGGAAGUCUGACCGAGGAAAGCCGCGGGAGUGAAGAAGGUUUUCGGAUCGUAAAGCUAUGUUGUAAGAGAAGCGGUAUCUUACCAGAAAGGGACGGCUAACUACGUGCCAGCAGCCGCGGUAAUUC